AAUCUUUGAACGCACCUUGCGCUCCUUGGUAUUCCGAGGAGCAUGCCUGUUUGAGUGUCAUGGUAUCAUCAACCUCCAUCACUUUUGCGAUGGAAGGCUUGGACUUGGAGGUUGUGUCGGUGCUUUCGCAUCGGCUCCUCUGAAAUGUAUUAGCGUGAAUCUUACGGAUCGCCUUCGGUGUGAUAAUUACUGCGCCGUGGAUGUGAAGUAUAACAGUGUUCGUGCUUACAAUCGUCUUGAAGAAAGACAACACUUUGACAAUCUGACCUCAAAUCAGGUAGGAUUACCCGCUGAACUUAAGCAUAUCAAUAAGCGGAGGAAAAGAAACUAACAAGGAUUCCCCUAGUAACUGCGAGUGAAGCGGGAAAAGCUCAAAUUUAAAAUCUGGCGGUCUUCGAUCGUCCGAGUUGUAGUCUGGAGAAGCGUCUUCCGCGC
rnacentral:rRNA from 1 species